CGUUGCCCUGUCACCCAGCAGAGACCUCUGACCCAGAGGAGGAGAUGCGCACCCAGCCAGAGAAACCUUCCUGCAAGAAGUUGGACGUCACUUGGCCCCCUCCCAGCCCUUCUGAGACCUCCCAGGUGAACGGCCUCCACCAGCUGGAGAGAAGCCCUCGAAUGUUCCGUCGCCAGAGGAGUGCCUUAAUUCAGCGCUGGGAGUCCGGGGCUGUUGGCAACCAGGAGAGCCAGGAUUAGGGGCUGCCACAGCAUGAAGCGGCAGUGGGUCGCAUCUCC